GAUGAACGCUGGCGGCGUGCCUAAUACAUGCAAGUCGAGCGAACAGACGAGGAGCUUUCUCCUCUGCCGUUAGCGGCGGACGGGUGAGUAACACGUGGAUAACCUACCUAUAAGACUGGGAUCACUUCGGGAAACCGGAUCCAAUAUCGGAUAAUAUAUUGAACCGCAUGGUUCAUUAGUGAAAGACGGUUCUGCUGUCACUUAUAGAUGGAUCCGCGCCGCAUUAGCUAGUUGGUAAGGUAACGGCUUACCAAGGCAACGAUGCGUAGCCGACCUGAGAGGGUGAUCGGCCACACUGGAACUGAGACACGGUCCAGACUCCUACGGGAGGCAGCAGUAGGGAAUCUUCCGCAAUGGGCGAAAGCCUGACGGAGCAACGCCGCGUGAGUGAUGAAGGUCUUCGGAUCGUAAAACUCUGUUAUUAGGGAAGAACAAAUGUGUAAGUAACUAUGCACGUCUUGACGGUACCUAAUCAGAAAGCCACGGCUAACUACGUG
rnacentral:rRNA from 1 species